AACGCACAUUGCGCCCCUUGGUAUUCCGAGGGGCAUGCCUGUUCGAGCGUCAUUAUAACCAAUCACGCCCUGUGCGUGGACUUGGGGUUUCGCGGUCUCGCGUCCCUUAAAACCAGUGGCGGUGCUGUUAGGCUCUAAGCGUAGUAAUUCUUCUCGCUACAGGGUCUUGCGGUUACUUGCCAUAACCCCAACUUUCUUAGGUUGACCUCGGAUCAGGUAGGGAUACCCGCUGAACUUAA
rnacentral:misc_RNA from 1 species